UACGAAGGGGGCUAGCGUUGCUCGGAAUUACUGGGCGUAAAGGGCGCGUAGGCGGACAUUUAAGUUAGAGGUGAAAGCCCAGGGCUCAACCCUGGAAUAGCCUUUAAUACUGGAUGUCUUGAGUUCGGGGAGAGGUGAGUGGAACUCCGAGUGUAGAGGUGAAAUUCGUAGAUAUUCGGAAGAACACCAGUGGCGAAGGCGACUCACUGGCCCGAUACUGACGCUGAGGCGCGAAAGCGUGGGGGAGCAAACAGG
rnacentral:rRNA from 1 species